rnacentral:rRNA from 1 species
GAUGAACGCUGGCGGCGUGCCUAAUACAUGCAAGUCGAGCGAACAGAUGAGGAGCUUGCUCCUCUGACGUUAGCGGCGGACGGGUGAGUAACACGUGGAUAACCUACCUAUAAGACUGGGAUAACUUCGGGAAACCGGAGCUAAUACCGGAUAAUAUAUUGAACCGCAUGGUUCAAUAGUGAAAGACGGUUUUGCUGUCACUUAUAGAUGGAUCCGCGCCGCAUUAGCUAGUUGGUAAGGUAACGGCUUACCAAGGCAACGAUGGUAGCCGACCUGAGAGGGUGAUCGGCCACACUGGAACUGAGACACGGUCCAGACUCCUACGGGAGGCAGCAGUAGGGAAUCUUCCGCAAUGGGCGAAAGCCUGACGGAGCAACGCCGCGUGAGUGAUGAAGGUCUUCGGAUCGUAAAACUCUGUUAUUAGGGAAGAACAAAUGUGUAAGUAACUAUGCACGUCUUGACGGUACCUAAUCAGAAAGCCACGGCUAACUACGUG